UACGUAGGGUGCGAGCGUUGUCCGGAAUUACUGGGCGUAAAGAGCUCGUAGGUGGUUUGUCGCGUUGUCCGUGAAAACUCGCAACUCAAUUGUGGGCGUGCGGGCGAUACGGGCAGACUGGAGUACUGCAGGGGAGACUGGAAUUCCUGGUGUAGCGGUGGAAUGCGCAGAUAUCAGGAGGAACACCGGUGGCGAAGGCGGGUCUCUGGGCAGUAACUGACGCUGAGGAGCGAAAGCGUGGGGAGCGAACAGG
rnacentral:rRNA from 1 species